rnacentral:rRNA from 1 species
CGCGUAGGCGGCCUCACAAGUCCGCUGUAAAAGUCAAAGGCUCAACCUUUGAAUGCCAGUGGAAACUGUGAGGCUAGAGUCCGGAAGAGGCGAGUGGAAUUCCUGGUGUAGCGGUGGAAUGCGCAGAUAUCAGGAGGAACACCAACGGCGAAGGCAGCUCGCUGGGACGGUACUGACGCUGAGGCGCGAAAGCGUGGGGAGCAAACAGGAUUAGAUACCCUGGUAGUCCACGCCGUAAACGAUGGGCACUAGGUGUGGGAGGUGUCGACUCCUCCCGUGCCGGCGCUAACGCAUUAAGUGCCCCGCCUGGGGAGUACGGCCGCAAGGCUAAA